GAUGAACGCUGGCGGCGUGCCUAAUACAUGCAAGUCGAGCGAACGGACGAGAAUCUUGCUUCUCUGAUGUUAGCGGCGGACGGGUGAGUAACACGUGGAUAACCUACCUAUAAGACUGGGAUAACUUCGGGAAACCGGAGCUAAUACCGGAUAAUAUUUUGAACCUCAUGGUUCAAAAGUGAAAGACGGUCUUGCUGUCACUUAUAGAUGUAUCCUCGCUGCAUUAGCUAGUUGGUAAGGUAACGGCUUACCAAGGCAACGAUGCAUAGCCGACCUGAGAGGGUGAUCGGCCACACUGGAACUGAGACACGGUCCAGACUCCUACGGGAGGCAGCAGUAGGGAAUCUUCCGCAAUGGGCGAAAGCCUGACGGAGCAAUGCCGCGUGAGUGAUGAAGGUCUUCGGAUCGUAAAACUCUGUUAUUAGGGAAGAACAUAUGUGUAAGUAACUGUGCACAUCUUGACGGUACCUAAUCAGAAAGCCACGGCUAACUACGUG
rnacentral:rRNA from 1 species